rnacentral:rRNA from 1 species
AUGGAUGGCGCAAGGCUCCCUGAUGCCGAACUGGUACGGGAUGUCCAUGUCCCUGCACCUCGUCUGGCAGUCUGUUGCGCCCUAGCCACCCUUGGUGCAGCUCAUUUUGGCCCAUCGUCCGCCGCCACCAACAGGGCAAGGCAGAGCAGAAGAAAAGGUGGCCGGAGACCAACUAGAAGAUGCGUGCAGUUGGCCAUCGACACCUUCAACAACACCAGCGACAUGGCAGCAGCAGUAGGAUUCCAUGAAGUAAUAAGGCUGUACAUGAUUGAUGUGGACCGAAGAAAUUUGGAUCUGAAAAUAAGAAACGAAAUGGCUGGGCGUGGGAUGGAAUGA